AUUGAACGCUGGCGGCAGGCCUAACACAUGCAAGUCGAACGAGUGGCGGACGGGAGAGUAAUGUCUGGGAAACUGCCUGAUGGAGGGGGAUAACUACUGGAAACGGUAGCUAAUACCGCAAACCAUCAAAUGGGCCCAGAUGGGAUUAGCUUGUUGGUGGGGUAACGGCACACCAAGUCGACGAUCCCUAGCUGGUCUGAGAGGAGGACAAGCCACAAUGGAACUGAGACACGGUCCAGACUCCUACGGUAGGCAGCAGUGGGUAAUAUUGCGCAAUGGGCGCAAGCCUGAUGCAGCCAUGCCGCGUGUAUGAAGAAGGCCUUCGGGUUGUAAAGUACUUUCAGCGGGGAGGCGUUACCCGCAGAAGAAGCACCGGCUAACUCCGUGCCAGCAGCCGCGGUAAUAC
rnacentral:rRNA from 1 species